ACCUAGUCCCACCACACCCCCAAGGGUAUUCAGCAGUGAUAGAUAUUGUCUAUAAGCGCUAGCUUGACCCAGUUAUAGAGAAGAGAGCCGGCCAACUUGGUGCCAGCCGCCGCGGCUAGACCAACUGGACUCAAAUUGAUAAUCCCCGGCGUUAAGCGUGAUUAAAGCCAUGAACAAAUUAGAGUUAAACCUACGUUGAGCAGUGAAAAGCACACGAUAGGGAAAUCCAAAAACGAAAGUUAUUCUAAUCCUUGCUUGAAUACACGACAACUAGGACACAAACUGGGAUUAGAUACCCCACUAUGCCUAGCCGUAAACUAUUAACCUACACCCACCCGCGCCAGGGAACUACGAGCUUUAGCUUAAAACCCAAAGGACUUGACGGUGUCCCACCCAACUAGAGGAGCCUGUUCUAUAAUCGAUGACCCCCGCUCCACCCAACCCCCCCUUGCUUUAUCAGCCUGUAUACCUCCGUCGUAAACCCGCCGUAUGAAUGUACCCAAGCGGAUUUAAUGGUCCCACACCAACACGUCAGGUCAAGGUGCAGCCAAUGGGAGAGGUAAGUGAUGGGCUACAAUUUCUAGUCUAGAACAAACGAAAUUCUGCAUGAAACACAGUUAUGAAGGAGGAUUUAGUAGUAAAAAGAAAGUAGCGUGUUCUUUUUAACAUGGCCCUGGGACGUGUACACA
rnacentral:rRNA from 1 species